UUAGCAAUGCAGGAAAAUCGUUAACGUCGAAGCUUAAAAAAUGUCUACAACUUAAAAUUAAAACGCAACAAGAAAUGAAGGAUUUAUUUAGCGAACUACCUGUGACGUACGAUCCUGAAAUUGUUUGUCAGUUGGAUGCCAGAGAGAAG